UACGUAGGGUGCGAGCGUUGUCCGGAAUUAUUGGGCGUAAAGAGCUUGUAGGCGGUCUGUCGCGUCUGCUGUGAAAAUCCGGGGCUCAACCCCGGACUUGCAGUGGGUACGGGCAGACUAGAGUGUGGUAGGGGAGACUGGAAUUCCUGGUGUAGCGGUGAAAUGCGCAGAUAUCAGGAGGAACACCGAUGGCGAAGGCAGGUCUCUGGGCAGUAACUGACGCUGAGGAGCGAAAGCGUGGGGAGCGAACAGG
rnacentral:rRNA from 1 species